rnacentral:rRNA from 1 species
GCUGCGGUGCUUAUACAUGCAAGUCGACGGACCAAAUCGAGCUUCUCUGAUUUGUCAGCGGCGGACGGUUAGUAACACGUGGGCAACCUGCCCGCAAGACCGGGAUAACUCCGGGAAACCGGAGCUAAUACCGGAUAACACCGAAGACCGCAUGGUCUUUUGGUUGAAAGGCGGCCUUUGGCUUGUCACUUGCGGAUGGGCCCGCGGCGCAUUAGCUAGUUGGUGAGGUAACGGCUCACCAAGGCGACGAUGCGUAGCCGGCCUGAGAGGGUGACCGGCCACACUGGGACUGAGACACGGCCCAGACUCCUACGGGAGGCAGCAGUAGGGAAUCUUCCGCAAUGGGCGAAAGCCUGACGGAGCGACGCCGCGUGAGCGAAGAAGGCCUUCGGGUCGUAAAGCUCUGUUGUGAGGGACGAAGGAGCGCCGUUCGAAGUGGGCGGCGCGGUGACGUACCUCAGCGAAGAAGCCCCGCUAACUAC